AGGAUGCAAUGGAGAACAUUUACAGAGGACUGUGGGUAAAGCAAAGUCUUCAAGGGAAGAUAACAAAGGAUGAAACAAUGGUGUUGUGUGACUUCCUAGUGUGAAUCAUGGCAAUACAGUGAAAGACAGUGAUUUACUGCUUUUGAGGGCGUGCAUGUAUAUGAUUAACGGAUGGAAGUGCAGGACUCCAAGAUUUACUUCCUUCCCUUUCCAGCAGAAUUACCUGAGACGAGUAAAAUCUACUGGUGGAGUCACUCCAUUAUUCUUAUCUGUGGAGAUCUAGAUCUUGAUUUGAAAGUUUCUGAGAAAAUCUUCAGCUCAGACUUGAGGGUCAACUUUACCAGCUGAAGGAUCUGCAUUUACUGCUCAACCACAUCUAAUUUGAUGUCCUCUGCAGAUUUAAAAUGUGUGCCUUCUUUUCCGUCACCAAGUCAUCCCUGGGUUACUACUGAACAUCCUUCUCAAUUCCCCCCGACCCAUGGAUGGCUGUUCUCCAUUGUCUGUUUCACCAGAUGUCCUCAAAACAAACAGACAGAAGAAGGAAGUGGCUAAUGGAGCUGUGGAGUCCAAGUGUGACUGCCAAGAGGAAUCCAGCAAAGCCAAAAAGCCCAAGCAUGUAGCCCUGCCCGAAGCACGCCACACGCAUGGAAAACCCAGAGGAAAUGAGUGAGGAUCAAUGGGAAGAAGAGAGCCAGCCAGCUCUGUAUUCUAAGAACCUGGAAACAAUCUUUAUUCACACUGUUAAGACGAUUGAGAAAAAUGGAUGGAUAGAGUUUAUUUGCUAAGAGAAAAACUGAGUGACUACCUAGCUACCUCACUCCUUUUUGCUCUAUUGGAAGUUGAAGAUUUGUCCAGGAGCAGAUAGCUGAAGAGAGAGAGAGAGAAGAGAGAACGGCUUACAGCUCAGGUCCUCUCUCCAUGCUUAGGAACCACUACAAAUGCUACUGCCUUGAGUCUCAUUUUGUUUCCCUCUGGAAACCACAUGUGUACCUUGUUUGCAACAGUAUGGUUCUGGAGACCAGAAGGCCAAAAUCAAAAGUAUGGGCAGGCUUGAUUUCUUUAGAAGACUCCAGCGGAGAACUGUGUCUCCUUGCUUCUGAUUCUACAUCUCCAUCCAUGGGCCACUGUUUCAGCAACCUCAGCCAGUGCAACACAACCUCAGCCAAGAAGAGUAUGCAGAGAAAGGAGUCCCCUACCUGCCACAAAACUGUUGUCUGAAAACUGUCUCAUAUUGUCUCAAGUUGUCAUUCAUUGUGAAUUAGACCUGUUUAACA
rnacentral:lncRNA from 1 species